rnacentral:tRNA from 1 species
GAUUUUUAGUUAGUAGUGGUUUGAAUAGAACCAAAUAAUAGGAUACUCCUAUAUAUGUCA